rnacentral:rRNA from 1 species
AGCGAACGCUGGCGGCAGGCCUAACACAUGCAAGUCGAACGAACUCUUCGGAGUUAGUGGCGGACGGGUGAGUACACGUGGGAACGUGCCUUUUGGUUCGGAAUAACUCAGGGAAACUUGUGCUAAUACCGAAUGUGCCCUUCGGGGGAAAGAUUUAUCGCCAUUAGAGCGGCCCGCGUCUGAUUAGCUAGUUGGUGAGGUAACGGCUCACCAAGGCGACGAUCAGUAGCUGGUCUGAGAGGAUGACCAGCCACACUGGGACUGAGACACGGCCCAGACUCCUACGGGAGGCAGCAGUGGGGAAUCUUGCGCAAUGGGCGAAAGCCUGACGCAGCCAUGCCGCGUGAAUGAUGAAGGUCCUAGGAUUGUAAAAUUCUUUCACCGGGGACGAUAAUGACGGUACCCGGAGAAGAAGCCCCGGCUAACUUCGUG